UGAAACUGCUGAUUUUAAAAAAUUGCUGAGUACCCGAGGAAGUUGUUGCCUGCUCUCCAAAUCGUCAGCACAAAAGACAGCUCUCGUCACUGUGGUUGGGGAAAUUGCACAGUGAAAGUCACAGCAUGGCUCUGCAAGGUGGCAGGGACACCAGACUGGGGUCCCAUUGCCAUGUAGUAUUCUGCGCCCGUAACUCGGGAACAGAGAUGAAUGCGGUUGGAAUCCUGCCCCCAAGGACUCCUGAUCUCCUAGGAAGAAAGCUGCAUAAACCCACGGUGGCAGAGGAGUGCACGGCCGCUGCAGGGAGGCACCGAGGCCGCGGGCACAGGCUGCAGAGUGACCGACUCUCCAACCCCUUCCACCACUCUGCACACCGAGAAUCGCAGUCAUCGCAAGUACUAUUUUCUCCGGAAAACUGGAAGUCAGAGGCCAAGCCAUCAAAUUUUACAUUUGACAGUUUAAGCCUAGUAAUUGUAAUCAAUAUUUUAUGUAUUAUGCAACUGAUUAAUUAAUAAAUAUGAAAAUCAUCCAA